rnacentral:tRNA from 1 species
GGGGUUGUGGCUCAGCAGUAGAGCACUCACCUAGCAUGUGUGAGGCCCUGGGUUGGAUCCUCAGCACCA